CCUACGGAUGGCAGCAGUGAGGAAUAUUGGUCAAUGGUCGGGAGACUGAACCAGCCAAGCCGCGUGAGGGAGGAAGGUACAGAGUAUCGUAAACCUCUUUUGUCAGGGAACAAAGACUGGGACGCGUCCCCGGAUGAGUGUACCUGAAGAAAAAGCAUCGGCUAACUCCGUGCCAGCAGCCGCGGUAAUACGGAGGAUGCGAGCGUUAUCCGGAUUUAUUGGGUUUAAAGGGUGCGCAGGCGGUCUGUUAAGUCAGCGGUCAAAGCCCGGGGCUCAACCCCGGCCCGCCGUUGAAACUGGCAGUCUCGAGUUGGAGAGAAGUAUGCGGAAUGCGCGGUGUAGCGGUGAAAUGCAUAGAUAUCGCGCAGAACUCCGAUUGCGAAGGCAGCAUACCGGCUCCACACUGACGCUGAGGCACGAAAGCGUGGGUAUCGAACAGGAUUAGAUACCCGGGUAGUC
rnacentral:rRNA from 1 species